rnacentral:lncRNA from 1 species
AUUCCUAUUAUUUUAUUCAACUUGAACUGUUUUCUGAUAUUACUGAGCUGUUUGAUGUUACACAGUUUUCAACCUAAACACUUAAAAGUAUAAGAAUAAUUCUUUAAACUUUCCUUUUGAUACAUUUUCUUUGAGAUUUUACAAUAAAACCGUCUAAUUUUUACAAAUUUUGGGAGGAAAAGGCAGAAUGGACUUUCUCCCCUCUAAUGUCGCUGUCAAAACGAAGAGAGUAAUAAUUCAUAUGAAAAACAUGAGUAGAAACUAUCUUGUCUGGAUUUUAUCCAGUGAAAUGACAGCCAUUAUUCUCAGUGCCCAGAUGAUCCGGGCAAUUUUAGUCCUCUGUUUUACAGUCAUCAUGGAAACUUAGCUUAUAUUAUUGUUUUAAAAAGGACAGAUUUAUAGACAAAAUAUCUCUUCAGUUACACUCCAAGGACUGUUCCAAUCCCUCCCUUUAUAUCCCAAAGGGACUUAACAACACUAGCCAAGAAGAAAAACUUUGCAGAAGUCACAACCUAAGGAAAUGCCAAAGAAUUACUUCAGUGCUAUCUUUGAAAUAGCCAUAUACUUACUGUCCACUUUCAGAAGUUUCAACUGAAUUUUCAAGAUUUAAUAUGAUUCAAUUAAUUUACCAGAUCACUAACACUUGGGUGUUCGGGUUACCUUAUUUGUCUGGUUAGCCAGAAUUAACUAUAACUCUUAACCGAAAAUUAGUCUAAAAUGCCUUCAUGUCUUUGCUGGCUAUCUGAGGACUCUGACAAGGAUCACCCUCUUUCAUUAUUAAGGCCUGGGUCCA